GCCAGGGAUGGUGGCGCAUGCCUGUAAUCCUGGCUACUUGGGAGGCUGAGGUAGGAGAAUCACUUGAACCCGGGAGGUGGAGGUUGCAGUGAGCUGAGAUAGCACCACUGCACUCCAGCCUGGGUGACAGAGUGAGACUCUGUCUCAA
rnacentral:SRP_RNA from 2 species